rfam:Camelus ferus unplaced genomic scaffold scaffold839, whole genome shotgun sequence.
GGGGGUAUAGCUCAGUGGUAGGGCACAUGCUUGGCGUGUAUGAAGUCCUGGGUUCAAUCCCCAGUGCUUCCA